rnacentral:rRNA from 1 species
GAUGAACGCUGGCGGCGUGCCUAAUACAUGCAAGUCGAGCGGACGGACGAGCAGCUUGCUUCUCUGAUGUUGGCGGCGGACGGGUGAGUAACCCGUGGAUAACCUACCUCUGAGACUGGGAUACCUUCGGGAAACCGUAGCUAAUACCGGCUCAUAUGUUGAACCGCAUGGUUCAAAAGUGCUAGACGGUCUUGCGCUCCCUUAUAGGUGGCACCGCGGUGCAUUAGCUAGUUCGUAAGGUAACGGCUUACCAAGGCAACGAUGCAUAGCCGACCUGAGAGGGUGAUCGGCCACACUGGAACUGAGACACGGGCCAGACUCCUACGGGAGGCAGCAGUAGGGAAUCUUCCGCAAUGGGCGAAAGCCUGACGCAGCAACGCCGCGUGAGUGAUGAAGGUCUUCGGAUCGUAAAACUCUGUUAGUAGGGAAGAACAUAUGUGUAAGUAACUGUGCACAUCUUGACGGUACCUAAUCAGAAAGCCACGGCUAACUACGUG